rnacentral:rRNA from 1 species
CGUAGGGUGCAAGCGUUAAUCGGAAUUACUGGGCGUAAAGCGUGCGCAGGCGGUUUUGUAAGACAGGCGUGAAAUCCCCGGGCUCAACCUGGGAAUUGCGCUUGUGACUGCAAAGCUGGAGUGCGGCAGAGGGGGAGUGGAAUUCCGCGUGUAGCAGUGAAAUGCGUAGAUAUGCGGAGGAACACCGAUGGCGAAGGCAAUCCCCUGGGCCUGCACUGACGCUCAUGCACGAAAGCGUGGGGAGCAAACAGGAUUAGAUACCCUGGUAGUCCACGCCCUAAACGAUGUCAACUGGUUGUUGGGUCUCUUCUGACUCAGUAACGAAGCUAACGCGUGAAGUUGACCGCCUGGGGAGUACGGCCGCAAGGUUG